rnacentral:lncRNA from 1 species
CCAGCUACAAAGAUAAUAUUUCUAAGAGAUUUCCCCUCCAUCAUAGGUCCAUGUCAACAAAGAAAAACCAGACAGGAAUGAACAACUUAAAACCGAAGUAACACUGAGAUUACAUGCAUAUUUACAGACAAAGCUUGAGUAGUUAUCUUCUUAGGACAACUCCCCUUGAACUAGGACUGACGAUCUGCACAAUAGAUUUAUAAUUGUGAUCAAUCAUAGUAGCCGUCGGGACUAAACUUGUUCUUGAUCCACUUGAAGCUGUUUCUGAAAGAAGACUUGAGCCUACCUUCCACAGUAUACAUAUUAUAGUUUGCUACUCUCUUCCUCCUCUUGCCCUCUGGAUUAUCUCCCGGCCCGUGCCCGUUGAAGCUAAAGGAUUUGCUACGAUCCUCAAACCCGAAUCGAGCUUCGACGUAUGAACCCGAAUAGUCUGGAAAUGAUUUGCUUUUAUCCAUAAUCUUGAGAGCUAGUUACCUCUUCUUGAGAAGAAGAUGCCUGGAGUUGGCAUUUUAUAACAAAAUUUAAAACAUGCUGAACAAAAUGUAAAAAACAUGGCAUUGGGUAGAUAGAUUAGUGCGGUCUGCAUGGGCCACGAGGGGACUUGAUUUGAUGAAAAGAUGAUAAUGGAGAUACGAUUGUAGCAUUAGAAGAGUGAUGAUACUUUCACAUCUAUAAUGCCUAAUCAUGUCUUGUACUGUUAUAGUGUUAAGAUGUUAAAAUUUCAUUAGGGGGAGGAUAUUGCAUCAAACAAACUUUUAGCUGCAACGCAA